rnacentral:rRNA from 1 species
AGCAGCCGCGGUAAUUCCAGCUCCAAUAGCGUAUAUUAAAGUUGUUGCAGUUAAAAAGCUCGUAGUUGAAUUUCGGGAUUUGCAUAUCGGUCGUGCCUUAAGGGGUAUGAACUGGCGUAGUGAAUUUCUCACCUUCUGGAGAACCGUGAUGUCCUUAAUUGGGUGCCACGAGGAACCAGGACCUUUACUUUGAAAAAUUAGAGUGUUUAAAGCAGGCAUUUUUGCUUGAAUACAUUAGCAUGGAAUAAUAAAAUAGGACGGCAUGAUUCUAUUUUGUUAGUUUCUAGGAUCACCGUAAUGAUUAAUAGGGAUAGUCGGGGGCAUUAGUAUUCAAUUGUCAGAGGUGAAAUUCUUGGAUUUAUUGAAGACUAACUACUGCGAAAGCAUUUGCCAAGGAUGUUUUCAUUAAUCAAGAACGAAAGUUAGGGGAUCGAAGACGAUCAGAUACCGUCGUAGUCUUAACCAUAAACUAUGCCGACUAGGAAUCAGACGAUGUUAAUUUUUAAUGUACUCGUUUGGC